AUCAGCUCAAAUUUGAAAUCUGGCUCUUUCAGAGUCCGAGUUGUAAUUUGCAGAGGGCGCUUUGGUGUCGGCAGCGGUCCAAGUUCCUUGGAACAGGACGUCACAGAGGGUGAGAAUCCCGUACGUGGUCGCUGACCUACACCGUGUAAAGCCCCUUCGACGAGUCGAGUUGUUUGGGAAUGCAGCUCUAAAUGGGAGGUAAAUUUCUUCUAAAGCUAAAUACUGGCCAGAGACCGAUAGCGCACAAGUAGAGUGAUCGAAAGAUGAAAAGCACUUUGGAAAGAGAGUCAAACAGCACGUGAAAUUGUUGAAAGGGAAGCGCUUGCAGCCAGACUUGCUUGUAGUUGCUCAUCCGGGCUUUUGCCCGGUGCACUCUUCUGCGAGCAGGCCAGCAUCAGUUUGGACGGUUGGAUAAAGGCCUCUGUC
rnacentral:rRNA from 1 species